rnacentral:rRNA from 1 species
GUUAAGCGACUAAGCGUACACGGUGGAUGCCCUGGCAGUCAGAGGCGAUGAAGGACGUGCUAAUCUGCGAUAAGCGUCGGUAAGGUGAUAUGAACCGUUAUAACCGGCGAUUUCCGAAUGGGGAAACCCAGUGUGUUUCGACACACUAUCAUUAACUGAAUCCAUAGGUUAAUGAGGCGAACCGGGGGAACUGAAACAUCUAAGUACCCCGAGGAAAAGAAAUCAACCGAGAUUCCCCCAGUAGCGGCGAGCGAACGGGGAGCAGCCCAGAGCCUGAAUCAGUGUGUGUGUUAGUGGAAGCGUCUGGAAAGGCGCGCGAUACAGGGUGACAGCCCCGUACACAAAAAUGCACAUGCUGUGAGCUCGAUGAGUAGGGCGGGACACGUGGUAUCCUGUCUGAAUAUGGGGGGACCAUCCUCCAAGGCUAAAUACUCCUGACUGACCGAUAGUGAACCAGUACCGUGAGGGAAAGGCGAAAAGAACCCCGGCGAGGGGAGUGAAAAAGAACCUGAAACCGUGUACGUACAAGCAGUGGGAGCACGCUUAGGCGUGUGACUGCGUACCUUUUGUAUAAUGGGUCAGCGACUUAUAUUCUGUAGCAAGGUUAACCGAAUAGGGGAGCCGAAGGGAAACCGAGUCUUAACUGGGCGUUAAGUUGCAGGGUAUAGACCCGAAACCCGGUGAUCUAGCCAUGGGCAGGUUGAAGGUUGGGUAACACUAACUGGAGGACCGAACCGACUAAUGUUGAAAAAUUAGCGGAUGACUUGUGGCUGGGGGUGAAAGGCCAAUCAAACCGGGAGAUAGCUGGUUCUCCCCGAAAGCUAUUUAGGUAGCGCCUCGUGAAUUCAUCUCCGGGGGUAGAGCACUGUUUCGGCAAGGGGGUCAUCCCGACUUACCAACCCGAUGCAAACUGCGAAUACCGGAGAAUGUUAUCACGGGAGACACACGGCGGGUGCUAACGUCCGUCGUGAAGAGGGAAACAACCCAGACCGCCAGCUAAGGUCCCAAAGUCAUGGUUAAGUGGGAAACGAUGUGGGAAGGCCCAGACAGCCAGGAUGUUGGCUUAGAAGCAGCCAUCAUUUAAAGAAAGCGUAAUAGCUCACUGGUCGAGUCGGCCUGCGCGGAAGAUGUAACGGGGCUAAACCAUGCACCGAAGCUGCGGCAGCGACGCUUAUGCGUUGUUGGGUAGGGGAGCGUUCUGUAAGCCUGUGAAGGUGUGCUGUGAGGCAUGCUGGAGGUAUCAGAAGUGCGAAUGCUGACAUAAGUAACGAUAAAGCGGGUGAAAAGCCCGCUCGCCGGAAGACCAAGGGUUCCUGUCCAACGUUAAUCGGGGCAGGGUGAGUCGACCCCUAAGGCGAGGCCGAAAGGCGUAGUCGAUGGGAAACAGGUUAAUAUUCCUGUACUUGGUGUUACUGCGAAGGGGGGACGGAGAAGGCUAUGUUGGCCGGGCGACGGUUGUCCCGGUUUAAGCGUGUAGGCUGGUUUUCCAGGCAAAUCCGGAAAAUCAAGGCUGAGGCGUGAUGACGAGGCACUACGGUGCUGAAGCAACAAAUGCCCUGCUUCCAGGAAAAGCCUCUAAGCAUCAGGUAACAUCAAAUCGUACCCCAAACCGACACAGGUGGUCAGGUAGAGAAUACCAAGGCGCUUGAGAGAACUCGGGUGAAGGAACUAGGCAAAAUGGUGCCGUAACUU